GAUGAACGCUAGCUACAGGCUUAACACAUGCAAGUCGAGGGGCAGCAUGUUGGUUGCUUGCAACCAAUGAUGGCGACCGGCGCACGGGUGCGUAACGCGUAUCGAACCUGCCCUAUACUCGGGGAUAGCCUUGCGAAAGUAAGAUUAAUACCCGAUGUUGUUAUUACAUCGCAUGAUGUUUUAACCAAAGAUUUAUCGGUAUAGGAUGGCGAUGCGUGACAUUAGGUAGUAGGUGAGGUAACGGCUCACCUAGCCUACGAUGUCUAGGGGUUCUGAGAGGAAGGUCCCCCACACUGGAACUGAGACACGGUCCAG
rnacentral:rRNA from 1 species